rnacentral:lncRNA from 1 species
GCAGUCCAAUUUACAGGCUGGAGCAGCAGCUGCAUCCUGCAUUUCCCCGAAGUAUUACAUGAUUUUCACUCCUUGCAAACUUUGCCAUCUUUGUUGCAGAGAAUCGGGAAUCCAAAUGAGACUCAGAACAAUAGCACAAGCUGGCCUGUCUUCAAAAGCACUGAACAAAAAUAUCUAACCUUGAAUACAGAGUCAACAAGAAUAAUGACGAAACUACGUGCUCAACAAUGUCGAUUCUGGACAUCAUUUUUUCCAAAAGUCUUGGAAAUGACAGGAAAUAUUGAUGAAGCAGAAUGGGAGUGGAAAGCAGGAUUCCAUCGCUGGAACAAUUACAUGAUGGACUGGAAAAAUCAAUUUAACGAUUACACUAGCAAGAAAGAAAGUUGUGUGGGUCUCUAAUUAAUAGAUUUACCCUUUAUAGAACAUAUUUUCCUUUAGAUCAAGGCAAAAAUAUCAGGAGCUUUUUUACACACCUACUAAAAAAGUUAUUAUGUAGCUGAAACAAAAAUGCCAGAAGGAUAAUAUUGAUUCCUCACAUCUUUAACUUAGUAUUUUACCUAGCAUUUCAAAACCCAAAUGGCUAGAACGUGUUUAAUUAAAUUUCACAAUAUAAAGUUCUACAGUUAAUUAUGUGCAUAUUAAAACAAUGGCCUGGUUCAAUUUCUUUCUUUCCUUAAUAAAUUUAAGUUUUUCCCCCCAAAA